UUUUCUGGAGGCUGCCUCCUGUGGAUUGCUGAGUGAGCCCUGGUCCUUGGAAAAAAACUCGAUGGGGUUUAAGGAUUUCUGGGGCUCCUCUUGCUAGUGGUUUAAGCACUAUGAAAUCUGUGGAGCAGCUAAUGGAACGCCACAAGCCCCUUGUUCAUGCACGGCAUGUAUGCAGGCAGGUUUUGUGAUAGCUGGGGGAAGCUCGCUUAAAGAUGGAAUGGUUACAAGGGGCUCACCUUGCUUUGUGGGGUCUAUUCUUCCAGCCCAAUAAGCUGUGUGGCUAGUGAUAGAGCGAGGUGCAUCUUAGUUGAGGAUUCUGUCCGUCUGCAGGCAUGUUUGGCUGGGACUUUGGAGCUUGGUGCUUAUGACUUCAGUUCUUUAUGACACAGAGCUGUGCCACUUGCUGCCUAGACCAAAUACACGUGUUAUUGGAGGAGAUCACUCUGUGCAUUGUAUUGUUUUUUUUUAAUGCUUUCAAAGGGUGAGGAUGGUAUCUGCCUUCAAACAGAGAAUGUCUAAAAGAAAUUGAUUUUUCUUUUUUCUUGGAGUAGUUGUUCAGGGAAAUGCGGAUUCUUUCUUCUCUGCCACUAUGUUUCCCAUAGCGGUAUUCUAGGAAUGGCUUCUGUCCUUGAUUGCUUACUUGUUUAUUUCCAGUAUGGAAAGAAACAUGCCGUUAUUUUUCUUCUGUCUACGUAGAACUCCCUUAGCUUCCUUGGUAGUUUUGAGUUGUGCUUGGGAACAUAAUGUACAGCUGGAUCUAGAACAGUUGCCAAAGAGGGGUCUGUGGGCAAAUGGUGCCAGACUUACCAGACGGAGGUCGUAAAUUUCCCUGCCUCCUAGCAAAGAGUUCUCAUAUUAUUCUUAUAUAGCGUUGAAUGUUACUGCUGUACCGAGAUUUUUAUUACAUAUCUAUUAUCCGUUUCGCAAAGAAAAGGCUGAGGAGCAUGCCUCGUGAUGACUUAAGCAUACCUCAUGCUUUGGUCUCUAGCGCCGCCGUGUGGCCGAUCAGAGGAAUUGCGGCCGUAUCUGGUGGCGAAGGCAGGAGGACGCAUGGGCAGAGGCACGCGGAAGUGGUAUAGGUGCUUUCUAGUCACUCUGCGCAGCAAGUCCGCCGAUCUCUAUUGUACUUCCUCCAGGCAAUGGUGCGCAUGCGCGAUGAAGCAUAUAAAUAGCAACCAUUUCCACGAAGAACGGAGGUGACGGCGGACAGUAAAUUUUUGGACCACAAACACAACGACAUAUUGACGUCAACGAAUAGAAUACCCUGCGCUCCUUGCGUGCAAAAUAAGGCGUCCAAAAAACAACAGGCGAAGGCGUAUACACAACAAUGCGAAAGCGAAAUAAUGCAUGCAAGGAGCUGGCGCAUGCGCAGUCCCAACUAGGAGGUGCAUGUUUUCACGUAGGAAAUCCCCCAUUUAACCCGAAUAUCAUGCGUUUUCUCUUACAGAAUCCCCCACUUAAGUAAAA
ensembl:lncRNA